AAAUUGAAGAGUUUGAUCAUGGCUCAGAUUGAACGCUGGCGGCAGGCCUAACACAUGCAAGUCGAACGGUAACAGGAAGCAGCUUGCUGCUUUGCUGACGAGUGGCGGACGGGUGAGUAAUGUCUGGGAAACUGCCCGAUGGAGGGGGAUAACUACUGGAAACGGUGGCUAAUACCGCAUAACGUCGCAAGACCAAAGAGGGGGACCUUCGGGCCUCUUGCCAUCGGAUGUGCCCAGAUGGGAUUAGCUGGUAGGUGGGGUAACGGCUCACCUAGGCGACGAUCCCUAGCUGGUCUGAGAGGAUGACCAGCCACACUGGAACUGAGACACGGUCCAGACUCCUACGGGAGGCA
rnacentral:rRNA from 1 species